rnacentral:rRNA from 1 species
UACGUAGGGCGCAAGCGUUGUCCGGAUUUAUUGGGCGUAAAGAGCUCGUAGGUGGUUCGGUAAGUCGGAUGUGAAAUCUCCAGGCUCAACCUGGAGGGGUCAUUCGAUACUGCCGUGACUAGAGUUCGGUAGGGGAGUGUGGAAUUCCUGGUGGAGCGGUGAAAUGCGCAGAUAUCAGGAGGAACACCCGUAGCGAAGGCGGCACUCUGGGCCGAUACUGACACUGAGGAGCGAAAGCGUGGGGAGCGAACAGG